GACGGAAGGUGCAAGCGUUGCUCGGAAUCACUGGGCGUAAAGGGUGCGUAGGCGGGUCUUUAAGUCAGGGGUGAAAUCCUGGAGCUCAACUCCAGAACUGCCUUUGAUACUGAAGAUCUUGAGUUCGGGAGAGGUGAGUGGAACUGCGAGUGUAGAGGUGAAAAUUCGUAGAUAUUCGCAAGAACACCAGUGGCGAAGGCGGCUCACUGGCCCAUAACUGACGCUGAGGCACGAAAGCGUGGGGAGCAAA
rnacentral:rRNA from 1 species